rnacentral:rRNA from 1 species
UACGGAGGGUGCGAGCGUUGUCCGGAAUCACUGGGCGUAAAGGGCGCGUGAGGCGGCGCGGGCAGUCAACGGUGAAAGCUCGGAGCUCAACGUCCGAGUCGGCCGUCGAUACUCCCGUGCUUGAGCACUGGUAGAGGCAGGUGGAAUUCCGGGUGUAGCGGUGGAAUGCGUAGAGAUCCGGAAGAACACCGGUGGCGAAGGCGGCCUGACUGGGCAGAGCUGACGGCUGAGGCG